GACGAACGCUGGCGGCGUGCUUAACACAUGCCAGUCGAACGGAAAGGCCCUGCUUUUGUGGGGUGCUCGAGUGGCGAACGGGUGAGUAACACGUGAGUAACCCGCCCUUGAGUGUGGGAUAACUUCAGGAAACUGGGGCUAAUACCGGAUAGGAGCUCCUGAUGCAUGGUGGUGGUUGGACAGUUUCGGCGGUGGGGGAUGGACGGGCGGUUUACUAGCUUGUUGGUGGGGUAGCGGCCUAGCAGGGCUUCGGUGGCUAGCCGGCCUGGGAGGGCGGCCGCCGUCCUGGGGACUAAGGUAGGCCCCAGUCUCCAACGGGGGACAGUGGGGGGGAGUCUGGCACAGUGGGGCGAAGCGUGUGGAGGCAACCCCGGGAGCGGAAUGACGGCCUUCGGGGGGUAAACGGCUUUAGCCUGUGACGAGGCGUGUGUGACGGUAAUGGGAGAAGAAGCACCGGCUAACUACGUG
rnacentral:rRNA from 1 species